UCCUUUAUAUGGAGCUACUGCACACUGGAAACAGCUGCUGUCAGCAAAAACAGCCUAUCUGAAAACCUACAAAGCUUCACAAGUCUUAACAGCUUAACAGACCACUACAGAACAGAGGUGUGAAGUUUACUGAAGUCCAAUUGAUUAAAGUCACAUGCCAGUCUUAGCUGGAAAGCAAAGAAAAGAGGAAAACCACCUUGCUCUUCUUCCAUCAACAUGUUGGGGCCUUUAAAAAAUAACAGAGUUAUGACUGCUGGGCUUUGCAUUGAGCACCACCGUGUUUCUAAGAAGGAGGUGAAGGUUCCAGAUGCAGCAAAAUUUUGGAUGUUUCUAAAGCUGGACGGAAAAUGAAGAGCUUGAAAGCUGAAACCCUUGGAAAAUUUCAGAUUGAAGACACUUGAACACAAGGGCAAAUAUGAAUCUAACCAUGAAAUUUCCUAGACUGUUUUGUUUGCAUGUUCAUUAGCAUCUUCAUGUUAGCACGUUUCAUUAGAAUUAACAUUUUCUUAUGUUUCAAAUGCUUCAUUUCACCAAUUAAAUCAUUGCUUAAAAUAUCAUCAGGGGCCCAUUUUUGAUGAGGGCAAAAACAUUACACUUCUGUUCAUGUAUGACUUGUUACUCUCAUCUUCCCUCUUUCUGUUACAUACUUUUGGAAACCAUAAAGUUUGUUAUGAAAGCAUAGAGGAUGAAAACCAGCACAUAAAUAGUUAAUUCUCAGAGCCACUAAUGCUCAGAUUGAAAUUACUUAGAGUAUAACUUAAACAAAGGUUAUAUGAUUUUAUUGUAAUUAAUUUGUAGGGACUCAGGAAUGUAAUAGCUAUUUACCCCCUUCCUCACUUUCUGAAAGUCAACAUUUGAGAAAUUGACCAUUGCAGUUGGCUUCCAGACAUUUUCCAUUAACUUAUUGGAAAAAUUUCCUUUCCUUAUUUGAAAAAGAGGGAAAGAGAAACACUUCCUCAGAAAUGAAACAGUUCCCACUUAGAAUAACCUGUAGGGCUCAUGCUGUCAGUGGAAGUUUGAUUGCUUUUUCAAAUGUGUUUCAUUUCUAUGUUCUCAGUAGAUACAAGGGCUUUUCUUCCUGUCCACGUGUGCCUCAAGAGCCAAUGCACAGAGAAGAAAUUGGAACUUUUCAGGACUUCUUCAGGCAAAACAACGGGAACAGGAAACUUGUCAUGUCCAUACUCAGCUCCCUUCCAAAUAAAGCCCUUGUACUGCUUUGGCAGCUAAUGCUGAAUAAUAAAUCAAGUUAUAGGAGAUAAGCUGAAGAAUAGAAAAC